AAAGUCGUAACAAGGUUUCCGUAGGUGAACCUGCGGAAGGAUCAUUACCGAGUUGGGGUCCUCCGGGGCCCAAUCUCCCAACCCGUGUCUAUUCCACCGCGUCGCGUCGGCGGGCCCGCUCCCCCACGGGAGCCGCCGGGGAUCCCCAUCCCGGGCCCGCGCCCGCCGACCGCGAUCGCAAGUCUCGAAGCAGAACCACAACCACACAAAACUUUCAACAACGGAUCUCUUGGCUCUG
rnacentral:misc_RNA from 1 species